GGGGAAUUUUGCGCAAUGGGGGAAACCCUGACGCAGCAACGCCGCGUGGAGGAUGAAGCCCCUUGGGGCGUAAACUCCUUUCGACCAAGACGAUAAUGACGGUACUGGUGGAAGAAGCACCGGCUAACUCUGUGCCAGCAGCCGCGGUAAUACGGAGGGUGCGAGCGUUGUCCGGAAUCAUUGGGCGUAAAGGGCGCGUAGGUGGCCCGGUCAGUCUUUGGUGAAAGCGCGGGGCUCAACCCUGCGUCGGCCGGGGAUACUGCCGCGGCUCGAGCACUGUAGAGGCAGGCGGAAUUCCGGGUGUAGCGGUGGAAUGCGUAGAGAUCCGGAAGAACACCGGUGGCGAAGGCGGCCUGCUGGGCAGUUUGGCUGACACUGAGGCGCGACAGCGUGGGGAGCAAAC
rnacentral:rRNA from 1 species